rnacentral:rRNA from 1 species
GUGGGGAAUAUUGGACAAUGGGCGCAAGCCUGAUCCAGCCAUGCCGCGUGAGUGAUGAAGGCCCUAGGGUUGUAAAGCUCUUUCACCGGAGAAGAUAAUGACGGUAUCCGGAGAAGAAGCCCCGGCUAACUUCGUGCCAGCAGCCGCGGUAAUACGAAGGGGGCUAGCGUUGUUCGGAAUUACUGGGCGUAAAGCGCACGUAGGCGGACAUUUAAGUCAGGGGUGAAAUCCCGGAGCUCAACUCCGGAACUGCCUUUGAUACUGGGUGUCUGGAGUAUGGAAGAGGUGAGUGGAAUUCCGAGUGUAGAGGUGAAAUUCGUAGAUAUUCGGAGGAACACCAGUGGCGAAGGCGGCUCACUGGCUCGAUGCUGACGCUGAGGUGCGAAAGCGUGGGGAGCAAACAGGAUUAGAUACCCUUGUAGUCC